GACGAACGCUGGCGGCGUGCUUAACACAUGCAAGUCGAACGGAAAGGCCCUGCUUUUGUGGGGUGCUCGAGUGGCGAACGGGUGAGUAACACGUGAGUAACCUGCCCUUGACUUUGGGAUAACUUCAGGAAACUGGGGCUAAUACCGGAUAGGAGCUCCUGCUGCAUGGUGGGGGUUGGAAAGUUUCGGCGGUUGGGGAUGGACUCGCGGCUUAUCAGCUUGUUGGUGGGGUAGUGGCUUACCAAGGCUUUGACGGGUAGCCGGCCUGAGAGGGUGACCGGCCACAUUGGGACUGAGAUACGGCCCAGACUCCUACGGGAGGCAGCAGUGGGGAAUAUUGCACAAUGGGCGGAAGCCUGAUGCAGCAACGCCGCGUGCGGGAUGACGGCCUUCGGGUUGUAAACCGCUUUCGCCUGUGACGAAGCGUGAGUGACGGUAAUGGGUAAAGAAGCACCGGCUAACUACGUGCCAGCAGCCGCGGUGAUACGUAGGGUGCGAGCGUUGUCCGGAUUUAUUGGGCAUAAAGGGCUCGUAGGUGGUUGAUCGCGUCGGAAGUGUAAUCUUGGGGCUUAACCCUGAGCGUGCUUUCGAUACGGGUUGACUUGAGGAAGGUAGGGGAGAAUGGAAUUCCUGGUGGAGCGGUGGAAUGCGCAGAUAUCAGGAGGAACACCAGUGGCGAAGGCGGUUCUCUGGGCCUUUCCUGACGCUGAGGAGCGAAAGCGUGGGGAGCGAACA
rnacentral:rRNA from 1 species